GAGCUCCAACAACGAUUCCCUGAUUCUGGUAUCGAAACGCUGCAGCGAUGUGCGAAAAGUUGUGAGUAUUCGAUGGGCCAACGAAUUAUUGAAUGGAUAUUGCGUCUCUUUAAACUUAAUAUGGCAUAUUUGUUUGAGAGCCG
rnacentral:rRNA from 1 species